rnacentral:misc_RNA from 1 species
GAAAUGCGAUAAGUAAUGUGAAUUGCAGAAUUCAGUGAAUCAUCUAAUCUUUGAACGCACAUUGCGCCCCCUGGUAUUCCGGGGGGCAUGCCUGUUCGAGCGUCAUCUCACCACUCAAGCCUCGCUUGGUAUUGGGCGACGCGGUCCGCCGCGCGCCUCAAAUCGACCGGCUGGGUCUUUCGUCCCCUCAGCGUUGUGGAAACUAUUCGCUAAAGGGUGCCGCGGGAGGCCACGCCGUAAAACAACCCCAUUUCUAAGGUUGACCUCGGAUCAGGUAGGGAUACCCGCUGAACUUAAGC